rnacentral:rRNA from 1 species
UACGAAGGGGGCUAGCGUUGUUCGGAAUUACUGGGCGUAAAGCGCACGUAGGCGGAUGUUUAAGUUAGGGGUGAAAUCCCAGGGCUCAACCCUGGAACUGCCUCUAAUACUGGGCAUCUAGAGUCCGAGAGAGGUGAGUGGAAUUCCGAGUGUAGAGGUGAAAUUCGUAGAUAUUCGGAGGAACACCGGUGGCGAAAGCGCUCUGCUGGACCUUAACUGACACUGAGGGACGAAAGCUAGGGGAGCGAAAGGG